CUUUUAAUGAAGGAUAAAAAGUUCAAAUCACUUUUCUAAGGAUCUUCACACUUUCAAUAUAUUAUAGAUAUAGAUUUAUAUAUAUAUAUAUAUAUAUAGCGCAGUAAAAUUUAUGCCGCUUCUGCUUGCUACUGCUAGUCUCUUGAUAUCUACUAAAUGGAUAUACUGAAUCAUGGACUCAACACACCAGUUGAGAUAGGAGAUGAGGACCAAUGGCCAUAGUUACGGAUGGGAAAAAGAGAAAAAAAAUAUAUAUAAAUACGAACAAUAUAUUGAUGGGAAAAGAGACAUAUGAAUUUCUAGCUAUGUAAAAGAGACAUAUUCU
rnacentral:lncRNA from 1 species